rnacentral:rRNA from 1 species
GCUGGCGGCAGGCCUAACACAUGCAAGUCGAGCGGUAGAGAGGUGCUUGCACCUCUUGAGAGCGGCGGACGGGUGAGUAAUACCUAGGAAUCUGCCUGGUAGUGGGGGAUAACGUUCGGAAACGGACGCUAAUACCGCAUACGUCCUACGGGAGAAAGCAGGGGACCUUCGGGCCUUGCGCUAUCAGAUGAGCCUAGGUCGGAUUAGCUAGUUGGUGAGGUAAUGGCUCACCAAGGCUACGAUCCGUAACUGGUCUGAGAGGAUGAUCAGUCACACUGGAACUGAGACACGGUCCAGACUCCUACGGGAGGCAGCAGUGGGGAAUAUUGGACAAUGGGCGAAAGCCUGAUCCAGCCAUGCCGCGUGUGUGAAGAAGGUCUUCGGAUUGUAAAGCACUUUAAGUUGGGAGGAAGGGCAUUAACCUAAUACGUUAGUGCUUUGACGUUACCGACAGAAUAAGCACCGGCUAACUCUGUGCCAGCAGCCGCGGUAAUACAGAGGGUGCAAGCGUUAACCGGAAUUACUGGGCGUAAAGCGCGCGUAGGUGGUUUGUUAAGUUGAAUGUGAAAUCCCCGGGCUCAACCUGGGAACUGCAUCCAAAACUGGCAAGCUAGAGUAUGGUAGAGGGUAGUGGAAUUUCCUGUGUAGCGGUGAAAUGCGUAGAUAUAGGAAGGAACACCAGUGGCGAAGGCGACUACCUGGACUGAUACUGACACUGAGGUGCGAAAG